AUUGUCCUUACAGCAAUGAGCCGCGGGUACUAUUGCCCCCUGGCCUGCCCCCUCCACUACUACCCUGUGUGUGGCUCCAACCACUUCACCUACGACAACGAGUGCAGGUUGAAGCAGGCGGCCUGCUUCAACCGUCUUAUAACGAAGCUGAGAGCUGGUCGCUGUGAGUAGAUUCCAGCUUGCAACUCAGACACGUGAGGCACGAAGCAACGUCUUGGACAGACUCAGGAGGGAUUCAUCUUAUCUCAAAGACUCUCACACAACUUGGCAAUGACGUCUCACUCACCCUUUGUUCAAACCCCAUUUCUGACGGCAGUCGUGCUGCGCAGUGUGGGGGUUUUGGUCACUGUAUUUUGUAACCUAAGGAUUCGCGAUAUAAAUAUACUGAAUAGAACUUGAAAACAAAUUAAAGUUUAAAAUUAUG